rnacentral:lncRNA from 1 species
GCUGUCCGUUGUCUAGUGUGGAUGACAGAAUAUAAUGCUGAUGGAGUCAGCAGAAUGGCAUAAUUAUGAAAAAAUCGGCAAUACUGGUUUGCAUAAUUUCUUUAAGAUUUACACAAACCCUAACAGUAGAAUAAUGGCAUGGAGCUUUAUCGAAUGAUUCCGCUUGAUGAUCAGCAGUGUGCCUGAACUAAGCUUCUUCUCUUGACUCGUUUGAUAGAUCUUCACGAACUUGGUUUGGAUGGAACAUGUUAAAAUUUGGAUAGAAAAUGGCACAUGAUGAAUGUCACAGCUGAGUAGACUGAGCUUGGGAAUUAAUUAAAAAUAGGCACAUGAUGAAUGUCACAGCUGAGCAGACUGAGCUUGGGAAUCAUUAUCAAGAAUGUAGGCACAUGAUGAAUGUCACAGCUGCGCAGACUGAGAAUCAACCCACUGAACUUUCUGAAAAUUCGGAACAUGGAACGCGGUACUGAACAUACUUGACAGCUUCCAAUUUUAAAAGAAGAAAGCCGAUCUACAUAUACUAGUAUUUUAAAUUUGUGCAUAGUACUUAAAUCUCUAAAAUCUUUAAACAAUACAACAUCAAGUUUAAUUCUCCGAAAAAUUACAGAAGCAAUCACUGAGCGACUUUGCAGCUGUCACUAAGGUGACAUCUUGUGUCAUUUCCUGCAAUAUAUGUGGAAGUAAGGUUAGCGCUGAAAAUAUGUUGCUGCAUAAAUUCCAAUGAUAAUCGCUAAUAUUAAAACCUACUGUUGCAAUUGGCAGUUUACAGCUUCAUUCUUCACUUAAUACAUCCUGUUUUGAUAGCAUGGAACCAACAUUAACAUAGAUUUUGGACAAUGUUAGAUAGACCAAAACAUUUACAGCAAAUAAAUUGUUUGUUUUCCCCCUAAGGAUAAAACUUGGUAACAACGGAAUCAAUCAAGUAGGAAAUGGAAGAGCCAGUUGCCAUUAAAUUCUACACUUUUUGUAACAUAAGUCAAUUUUGCUUUUCCGCCGUUUAUCUCUUUAGUCAUUAAACAGCUACGCUUGGUCGUUUUAUUAUACUUUUUCAGUGAUUAAGGUAUUUACAAGUAAUAAAAAACGUACUACUUAUUACACAAAAGAAACAAGUAUUUGUAGUAUUAAAGUGUUGACAAAAUGAAAGAUGUUACGUUAAUACUCAUUAGAUGAUUAAUAGCGGUAAUGGAAUUGUAUUUAUGUUCUUUGUCAUUACUUAAAAGAAAGAUAUUGGUCAGCUAAUGUCUGACAGAUACGGCUCCUGAGGUUAUUAUUUUGUAUUUCUGCCGAGGUUGUUUCAAUCUAAAUACGAGGUAGAAGUGCAAUAUUGCUUAUGAAGAUAAAUUGCAGUAUUGCUGUGUAUGUAAUGAAUUGUUAAUGAAUAUUCCUGUUAUCCGGUAUUGUUUUGUA